rnacentral:rRNA from 1 species
GUGCCAGCCGCCGCGGUAAUACGUAGGUGGCAAGCGUUGUCCGGAAUUAUUGGGCGUAAAGCGCACGCAGGCGGUCCUUUAAGUCUGAUGUGAAAGCCCACGGCUCAACCGUGGAGGGUCAUUGGAAACUGGGGGACUUGAGUGCAGAAGAGGAAAGCGGAAAUCCACGUGUAGCGGUGGAAUGCGUAGAGAUGUGGAGGAACACCAGUGGCGAAGGCGGCUUUCUGGUCUGUAACUGACGCUGAGGUGCGAAAGCGUGGGGAGCAAACAGGAUUAGAUA